ACCUUGCUGACGAGUGUCAAGUAGCACGAAACACGUGUCCAGGGU
rnacentral:hammerhead_ribozyme from 1 species